rnacentral:lncRNA from 1 species
UGGCUCAAAAAGAGACUGACACAGAAAACAGGAAACGACAUAAAGGAAGCAUAAACAACAGAAAACAAUUAAACCCACUACAGAAGCACACUAACCAAAACAACAAAAACAAAUAGAAAGCCAACAGACACAAAAAACAGCCACAAAAUCAAAACCAUUAGCAGAGAAACCCACUAAGAAUACCAGCCAAUUCUUUCCGACGAACAGAACCCCUUCACAGCCUUAAAAAAGAAACGGAAAGAGACGACUUUGAAACCCAGCAAAGGAGAUUCAACGAACCUUCUCCAAUUUUCAAAGCCCACUAACAGCUCAGCACCAAUGAUACCUAGCAGAUCAAUCCAUCUCGGCCAACGGUGCAACAGAACUUGGUGCCUCCUCAACCCAGAAACAUGGUAAGAUCCGAUGACGACCAUCCAUUGCCAACGCAUGCGUCAUCCGAUUAGUAUCUCUGGGAACAAACUGGUACACCACCUCCUUAAAAAAUCUCUCUAAAAGCUGAAUAUUCUGUGAAAUUGGGCUUAGAAUAGAUCUAUCCACUAUGUUUGAGUUUAAUUUCUUAAUAACAGUAAGAGAAUCAUCUUCCAGGAUGAGAUUUCUGAAACCCAUAUCCAACGCAAAGUAAAGAGCCCUUUUACACGCUCUCACCUCUGCUACAAAAGCAUCUGCCACAUCCGCUAUCGUGUAAGUACAAGCACCCAAUAUCUAUCAUUCCUCAUCUCUAGUUAACACUGCUAAAAUAGAAAUCUUAGUGUUGUCCAUAAACGAUGUGUCGAAAUUCAGCUUAAUAAACCCAAAUGUAGGUGGCCGCCACAAAAUAUUCCUUGGUAUAUCAAGAGAAAAACUUUAAACUCUACUGGUACUGAAAUCGUGGGCAUAACUUUGAACAAACCCCACAAUUUCAUGUAUGUCAAAAUUGAAACCUUUAUUUACCAGCCUAUUCCUCUUAAACUAAAGGGCCCAUAAAGAAAUAGUUAGAAGUUUCUUAAAUUUCAUAUAACUGCAAGAAAGAAACUUACAAAUUGUGUUCUUCCAUCUGAGGGACCUAUACUGUUAUCAAAGGAGAGAUGCAGAUAAAGCCAGAGUUGACGCAAGACACUAUAGAACCAUAAUAGAUGGUGCAAGUCCUCCGGGGACUUUUUACACAAAGGACAGACUUAUCAACAUGCAGUCUCCUUUUGGCCAAAUUGGAGAAAUGAGGCACAUAGUCCUUUAGAAUACACCAUAGAUGAAUUUUAAUAUUAGCAGGGAUUUUAAGGUCCCAACUAGAUGUAUAGAGUAUUUUGUCAUUUUCAUUUGUACUCAAAUUACUGUCUGUAUACUAGGUCACUUUUGUAAGUAAUGCUCGAUACCCACUCUUCAUUGAAUACUCCCCUGAAGCAUCAUAGUGCCAAACAAGCAAAUCUGGAAUACUACACCCAGCAAGAGGAAUGUUGAUAAUGUGUCGAGCAUGAACUUCAUCGCAUAUCUUAAAAAUCACCUCAUUUUUCCAAGUACCAGAAUCCGCAUUAAUCAAUUGAUCAAUAGUAGACCAAUGAGAAUCCAUAUUCGUUACUAACAAUCUGCCAUUUCCAGGACUAGGGAGCCAGGGAUCAUUCCAGAUAUUCACCUUCGCACCAUUUCUAAUUCUCCACAAGAGCCCGUCAUCAAAUAAGUCCCUAGCACAACAGAUACUCCUCCAGGUAAAAGAAGGGUAAGAACCAAUUUUAGCUGAUAGUAUAUUAGUAAAAGGAUAAUAUCGGGAUUUAAAAACUUUUGAGAUAAGGCAGUAGGGCUGGGUUAAAAGCUUCUAGACUUGCUUAGCUAAAAGGGCUUUAUUGAACAAAUAUAGGUCCCGAAAACUCAUCCCACCAUUAACCGUCGGCAAACAGGGUGCACUUCAAGUGCUCAAAUGGAUUCCUUUGGCAAUUUUACUAUUUGCCCACCAAAACUUGUUCAAUAUACCUUCAAGUUGAUAACAUAUCUUUUUUGGCAAUGCAAAACAUUGUAUCACAUAAACCGGAAUUGCUUGAAGGACAAUAUUGAUACAAAUUUCUUUACCGCCCAUCAAUAAAUACCGAAGCUUCCAACCCUCAAUUCGCCUGCGAAAUCUGUCCACGAAAUAAGCAAAAGCCCAUUUUUUCUUCGCCGGUAAACUGUCAUUAUGAAUAGCCCAUACCUUUAGAACUGUCUCUUCAAAAGAAUUAUCCAAACACCAUGAAAUAAAAUGCUUAUAAAAGGAAUUGAAUUUAGGACUGAAGAAUGAAAUUACAAUUAUCUAAUAAUCUAAUCAAAAGAGCUAAUGUGUCAAAAAUAUUAAUUAAAAAUAAAAAAAAAGCUUAAAAUAACAUGAAAUAAAAAAAAUACAAAUGUGAGUAGGAGAGGAAUAAAACCUAGGAUUCAAAGAUAAAAAUACUAACAUUUAACCAUCUAAUCAAAAGAGGCGAGUUAUCUAUUUUCAGCUGAUGUGGCUAAAAGCACACUCUAUAGGAUGCGUUUGCAUUAUUUAAACGCAUUUUCCUUUCUCUCUAAAAAAACAAAGAUCGAUAAAUUUAAAAAAAAAUAGCAUAAUACUCAAAUAAAUUUUUUUUCAGCAUAUAUUAAAAAAUUAGUUCUUUUUUAUAUGAGUGUUAGAUUUGCUGCAGCUAUGAACAUAUAGAUAAAUAAUAGUUUACAACACCGUUUUUUUUUUGUUUUGUUUUCUCCACUAACCAAAUAUGAAGACAUUUCCAUCGGUUGCACCGUAUUGCAUUGUAGCUUAGCAUGACAUUACAUUUGUUACAUAUAUACAUACUUACAAUUUCAAUUCGACUGAAAAAUUAAUAAAAAUUGUUUUUUUAUAGAAUCAUAUAUAUUAUUAUGAAAAUAUUUUUAUCUUUUUAUAUUUUAUAUAAAAUUAAAUAAAAAAAUUAUACAUAAUAAUAUUUCAACAGUUCUAAUAUAAUUUUUUUAUACAAUAUCUAAAACUACCCAUAACCUUCCUACUCGUAAAUAAUAUUUCAACAAUUAAUAGGACAAUAAAUGGGCUUCAACGCAUUUGAACCCAUCUACUCCUGCUCUAGCAAUAAUAAUGUUUGAUAUCUCACUCAGCCAACAAAGAACUAAAACUAAGCUAUGAACAAAAAAAAAAUGAAAACAAAAAACAAAAUAAAGUCUACUUCUUUUAUUUAUAAUAACUCUGAUAAUCUCAAAAUGUUGAAACUGACUCAAAACGAUGAAACUGAGUCUAGGAUUUAUACAAAGAGAUUAGGAGCUGCAAAUAGUAGUUAAUGCUAACAAAAAUCCUACACUGACUUUCCUUGCAGUUGACUAACAAAAUGCCAAAAAUACAAUAGCUUAGAAACUAACUACUUGACUAACUGAAGAAACUGAAAUAUAGUUUACCUAAGCUAAUAUAAUAUGUGCUAAUACAGUUCUCUAAUAUCCACCUAUUUACCCUUCUUUUGAAAGCUCUCCAAACUUGUUUUCAACCUUUAGUUUGCUUCGAAAUUUGCCGAAAAGUAACUCAUACAAAGGUUUUGUAAACACAUAAGCUAUUUGGUCUUGAUUAGGCACCUAACCAACAACCAAAUUUCUAGUUGCUACCUUUUAUUGAAUGAAAAACAGAUCCAAUUCAACAUGUUUAAAUUUGAAAUGCAACACAAGAUUGAUUGCAACAACAACUCCUCCUGAGUUAUCACACCAAAGUUGAGAUUUAUCAACAAGUGAUGUUUGCAACUCACCAAGUAAAGACUCGAGCCACAUAAUCUAUAUUGUGGUAUGUGUCAUAGUAUGUGUCAUACUCCUGUAUUUUGCCUCAAAAGUAAAAUGUGACACAAUAUGUUGCUUCUUAGAACACCAAGCUAUUUGAUUCCCACCAAAGAACACACAAAAUCCAAUUGUUAAUCUUCAAUUGUUGAUAUUAGCUCCCCAAUUAACAUCAACAAAGCUACCCAAAGACAAACAUGAAGUAGGUUGAAAAGACAAACCAUGAUCCGUUGUUCCCUGGAGAUACCUUAAGAUGCGCUUGACAACUUUAAAAUGAGUAUCUAAGGGCUUUUUGCAUGAACUGGUAGACCUUGUUGACGACAAAUGCAAUAUUUGGCCUUGUAAUCACUACGUACUGAAGUGUUUCCACAAUGCUAUGAUACUUAGACUUAUUUUCAAUAAGGCUACCAACUUGAGUAGAAAAGAUACCAUUGCUAACCAUGGGUGUAAAGAACCUUUUACUUGGUCCAUAUAAAAUAAAAUUUAACUUAGUUCAUAAAUUAAGGAUUAAGCUAGAGGGGUACUAUGCAUAAAAAGGUGUGACACAACCUUCAAGUUUUUGAGAAUCAACUAAACCUUGACUUUGAUACCAAAAUUGAUACAUAAAGAGUGCGGAAAUGUGGAAGAGGAUUGUAAAGUUUUUCUAAGUUGUAGAUUUGACUUAUGGUUCUAGACAUUCAAAAAAAAACUUAGAUUUUGACACAACCUAAAACGCAAUCAAAUCCAAAUUAGAUAAAACGAUUAACUAAGAUAAAUAAAAUAGAACGAUAAAGAAGAAAAUAAAGAAGAUAGAUAGAAAAGAUAAAACAUGACAAGUAAAAGUCCUAAGAAGCCUUGGAAACAAAAAGAAUCCACAAUCCCCUUCAAGUGACUCUAAUUUUCCCACUAAGAAAGAAAACUUGGUAGGAAAAAGUUUGAAAAUUAUCCCCAUAAUCUGAAAAGAUUGUUAAAACUUUUCUAAAAGAAAACUCAAGAGAAAUUCUUGAAAAGAAAAACUCAAAGAGAAUUUAUUAACUCAAAAAAGAAGUUGUUGAAUAAUAAUGAACUGAUCUUUGUGUACAAUAUAAAGGCCUUUAUAUAGGCUAGCUAAAUAAAUCUAAAUAGAAAUCUUAAGUAUACUAAAAAUUUAAUUAAACUAAACAAGAAGCAGUUUAAAACUAAACUUUCUUGUUGGCAUAAAACUCCUAAAUAACUUAAAAUACUUAAUAAUUAUAAAAAAUUUGGAAUAAAAAAUAAUAAAAUAAUAAGAGCUGAUAAAUACAAUAUUGAGCUCGCAUAUAAUAAAAAUUAAGCUUAAAACCCGAACCUAAUAUGAUUUAAACUCGAAUUAAAUGCCCAAAACAAGUAAUUCUUGUCCAAAACUUUUGCUCACAUAGUCUUCACUAAAACGGUCAUAACUUAAGCUCCUGAACUCAAAAUUGAGUGAUUCAAAGUGCGUUUCGAAACUAAGAGAUAGAUCUUCAAACAUUAUGAGACAUCUUAACCAAGAAAUGCCUGGAUCCCAUCCAAAAAGUUGUCGCAAGUCUGCUGAUUCCCCAAACUUAAAAACUGGCAACUUCGGUGAAUGUAAUUUAAUAAAUUUCACCUAUUUCGUGCAUGUAUCAUUCCUCGUUUCCUCAAAAAGAUUUAUCCUUACAUAUUGUCUUUGAUCAAAACUUAGUUUGAUUUGCUUGGCCUUUGAUUUAUUGUUAGGCCUUGAGGUAGUGUAAGUCCAUCACAUCCAUGGGUUUAAAAUUGGGUUUUGAGACUCGCAUCAUUCCCGCUUUACUCAAGAAGAUUCUUCCUCGAAUAUUUAGCUGCAUAAAAAGAACAGGGAUUAGAAUUUAUUAACAUUAAAAUUUAAAAAAAAUACUUAUCUAAACUUUCUUGGAUGCCAAAAAUAUUUUCAGGAUCAAAGACAUUAUUUCGAUCCUUUAAAUCAGCUUCGAUCAUAGACAGCUCCUUUAAAAAUAAGGUAUCAACACUAAACAAACAAAAUGUUAGGCACACGAGUGUUCAAGUAAAAAAUAACCUAUAACUUUCUUUGAAUAUGCAUGGUCAUCCAUAAGAAUUUCCACCGACGAGUCAAUAAUUUCACAUGAUUAUAAAAAUCAAGAAAAUUAAGAUUAUGUAAAAUUUCAUCAUUAAAGGUCAAGAUAGAAAAUUUUGUUGUUAUGGAAAAUGUAUAAAAUACUUUACUAAACCUAUUUAAUGCAACAAAACUACUAUUUUUAACCUUUACAGAUCUAGAUAAAUCCAUAAAACUAAUUGAAACUUGACUAACGGGAAAACAUGUCAUAAGGAAAUUUAAAAUUAGUAGCAUACUUAUCAAACAAAUGCAAUGCCUUCUUAAUUCAAUUUCUAAUGUUCUGUUGCCUUUCUUAACUUGUAGCACUUGUGGAUAAUUAUCAAUGUUCAACUUACCUCCCUCCUACAAGUAAAAUUGUCUAUCGAUGGUAGAGUAAUGUAAUUGGAAGUCUUUCAAUAGAUCCUUGAAAUCCUGUAACAAGAAAACACCACUAAACAAAUUUGAGUUAUGGUUAGUUAAAACAUAAUCAUUCCUCACAUUUGCAUAAGUAUUUUCUUGUUUUUCAUUUUCUUUUCCCACUUGACAACUCUCCAAUUUUACCUCAUAUGGAUUUUCACUCACCAAAAGUGGACCAUCAAAUAGAUUUUUAUCACUCAAAGUCUCUUUUCUAUCUAUCUUCUUUAUUAUUUUAAUCUUUAAUUUAUUGUUCUAUUUUAUUUAUCUUAAUUAUUUUAUCUUUGUAACGGCCUAAUUUUCAGUGGUGUCGGAAAUGGUGAUUUGAGAUCACUAAAUUCGACAAAUAAGAUUGAACAAGAUAGUGAUUUAAUAUUUAUGAGUCAAGUAAGAAUUUAGAAGAAUUUGUGAAAUGGUGAAAUUAGUGAAUUAGAAGAAUUUAUUAGGUCAAAUGGGUCAAAAAUGAGGUAUCGAGACCUCGAAUUUGAAAAUCAAGCUAUAAAUAUUUUUAUAAAUAUUUUUGAAGUUUCAGUUAGCUAGUAUUAAAGUUUGGUUGAGAAAUUUUAACAAUUAGGUAGUCAAUUAAAUAAAAAGGACUAAAUUGUAAUAAAAAUAAAUUUUGCUAAAAGGAUUAAAUAGCUCAAGUGUUAAAAGAAGGAAGAUUUAAAGGGAAAUUAAGCCUAAAAGUGAAUAGGCUGGACGGCAAAGGCAAGAAAGUCAGUAGAAAAAUAAGGGAAAUAAAGGCAAAAUUGGAAAUUUUACAACUUUAACAUAUAAAAUAAGAACAAAAUUGAAGAAUCUAGAGAUCUCUUCAUAUUUUAUCAGCCAAAACGCCAUAGAAGGUCUGGAGAAAGUUGGUUUUUCAUAUUUUACAUCAUAUCAAGAAAACGAACUGAAUCGUGGAAAGGAGAAAAUUCAAGAAUAGUCCCUGAAUUUCUACGACUUUUGCAAAUUAGUCCAGGUAAGUUUAUAUGGCAAAGUUCAAUGUUUUGAUAUGAAAAUCUUAUGAUUGUUAAAGUAUUUUAUUGUUGAUGAAUACUAUCAAUUUGUAUUAACUAAUAAAUAAUGUGUAACUAAAAGUACAAAUUAGUAGGAACAAUGGAUUUGAGUGCUUCUAUUCUGUGAUCCUGAUGAAUUGACGAAAAAUAUGUGAUAAGUGUGCCCGUUUAAGACCAUAGCUGGGCUAUGGCAUCGGUGCAAUGUGAUAAUGUGACUCCGUAUAAGACCAUAGCUGGGCUAUGGCAUCGGUAUAAUGUGAUAAUGUGAUUCCGUAUAAGGCCAUGUCUGGGAUAUGGCUUCGGUAUGAUAUGUGAACAAUGUAAGACCAUGGCAAGGCUAUGGCUUCGGUGUGUGAUGCGUAACAAUGUGAAAGUCCAUAGUUUACUAUGGCAAUGUGAUAUUGAAGCACUCAAUUCCCUUAUUGUUCCCUAAUUUGACAAUGAAGUAAAUGAGAAAUGAGCCUAAGGGAGUUAAAUUGUGAGUAGCCAUAUGGAAAUUAUUCCAAUGAGUUAUUAAUGAAAUUGUGAUUUGGAGGAUGAAAUAGUUAAACUAAUAGAUAAAUGAUUGUGUACAAUAUUUAAUAUGAUUUGUGUUUUUAUGCCUAUGAGCUUAUUAAGCUUCAAUAAGCUUACUUGUGUGUGUUUGAUAAUUUCUUUUGUAGAUUGAAUUAAAGAGAAGUUGGUAGAUUGGAUCAAUACAACAGGGCACACUAUUCAGAUCAAUUCCGGUAGUUUUUGUUUUAUGUUUAAAGAUUUAUAUGGCAUGUAUAGAGUUUGAAUGAAUUGAAGUAAGGAUGUUAUAAACUAGUUAACAAUAUUUGUACUAAAACAAUUUUUGGUAAGUAGCAGUAGUUUGACUUUGAAAAUUCACCAUAAAUUGUGGAAAUUGAGUUAAGGGCUGAGAAAAAAAAUGAGAUUAAAGCCUACUGAGUCUAGUUUCAUAUAGAGGAAACGGUGCAUGCAAUUGGAUUUUAUGUUAUGAGAUAUUUAAAUUGUGGUGAGACAGAGUCUGAAUGACUUCGAGUUCCCCUGUUCUGAUUUUAGAAAAUCAUUAAAAAUUUCAAAAAAAUAAUUAUGAGUCAUACUGUAUAUGUAUGGAUUCCUCAUUGGGUCUAUUUUUAAGAGAAACAAACGGCAUGGUUAUUUGAAUUUUUUACAGAUAGAAAUUUGUUUUGUAGUGCACAGGGGUCAAAGUAGCCAAACCCUAAAAUAGGGGAGGAUUUAACUAAUAAACUGUACUAAUUGGACCAACCAAAAAUUAUAUAAAAAAAUUGUUAAGUAGAUAUAUGAGUAUAAAUUCGGGGAAAAUUUACGGAUUUGGAUUUCGAGUUUUAUAACUCGAGAUAUGAAUUAUUUAGCAACUAUGACGCAGUUGGACAGCUUGUCUAAAAAAUAUGAUAUAAAUUAUCUGAAUUUGGUUAAGUGCUCAAAUAAGUUUAGUAGUGCCUUGUGCUCGACUCCGGCAACGGUCUCGGGUAAGAGGCGUUACAAUAUUUGAUUUAUUUGUAACACACCAAACCCGAUCCCUUUGAAGGACCCAUGUAUGAUAUGUCACUACUUAGAAAUAAUCCAUAUUUAAAAUUAUUUUUGGCGAAAAUUUUGUAUAAUUUGCAGUAUUUGGAUUAAACUUUUAAUAAAAUACUAAAAUAAAGUAUAAGCCAAAUGAUGUAUAAACUUUAAUAAGGUAAUUUCAUUAUUGAAAUAUAUAAUUAUGAAACCAUUCCAAAAACUUAAAUGAAAUUUCAUUAAAGCAUUAUUUAUCAAUCAUAAGUUUCAAUUACGAUUUCAUCUAAAAAAUACAAUUAGACAUCACUGAUAAACCGUAAAUUAUACAUAUUUUUACCCCAUGUUUAAUACAUUUUAUAGAUGAUUUCUCAUUAGAAUUGGUGAAUUCGAUACUCCUAAUGUUUUAAUUUCAUGUUUUGUACUCAGGAGAGCACCAAGAGUUAAAAGGAGCCAAAAACGAGCCAAAAAGAGACAAAACGGACCAAAUUGAGAAGAUGGCACAGCUUAAGCCUUGCCACACGGGCAGCUCACACGCCCGUGUCUUUCGAGGGUGUCGGUCGACCAAGGCUUUCACGAUUCACACGGCCUGACCAUUGACCCACACGGCUGUGUGCAAUUUAACGGAUCGAACAUGGCCUGGCAAUCACGUCACACGGCCAUGUCACACGGGCGUGUCCCUGCUGAGCCCAAGUUAAGUCCAAUUCAGAAAAGGCCACUUUGGAGGGUUUCUAGGCAUUCCAAAGCCUAUACAUACGCACUAGAGGAGGAGAAAAGGGGAGAAGGAGAAGAGGGGUAAGGAAUUACCCUAAGGAAGCCGAUUGAUCCAUCUCAGAAGCCGGAUUCAUCAUCAAGACUAAAAAUCUCUCCCCAAUUCCCCUUCAGGAGUUUUAGGUUUUCUUUAUGUUUUGUAUUCUUUAUUCUUCUGAAAUGUUUUCUUAUUUAGUUAUGAACUAAAUCCCCUAAAUACCUAAGGGGAAUGAAACCUAAGACGAAUCUUGUUAUUAUUUUCUGAAUCGUAUGAUAAAUAUUUAACUUGUUCUUAAUUAUGUGUUCUUAAUUCUUGUUUUGAUAUCCUAGGAUAUUGAUUCAAGACACGCUCUUAUUCAGAGGGGGAAUAGACCCUGUCUAAGAGUGCAUUUGCCAUAAUUAAACGGAGUUGAUUGCUUGCCUAGAAAUAGGGUGACAAGAUUUUUCCGGAUUAGGGUGAAA